UUGUAUUCUACCUUUUCACAGAAACAUCAACAAUUUCUCUAUCUGCUCAUGUCAAACUAAAGACUUAAAUACAGUUCAGGCAGAAAUGAGAGUGAUUUUACAGUUUUCUUUUCAGUGUGGCUGUUAAAUAGAAGUGAUGUUGUAUUGUAUUGUUGAUAAUUCUAAUGAUGAUUCAGUGGACCAGAUGUAGUCAUUCUGUUCGGCCCAGGGUCCUGGACCCUCCCGGAUAUACACGUUCAGUUUCAACAGACAAAUCUAAUCCACUCUCAUAACUAGUAAAUGGUCAG